CCUACGGGAGGCAGCAGUGGGGAAUUUUGGACAAUGGGCGCAAGCCUGAUCCAGCCAUGCCGCGUGCGGGAAGAAGGCCUUCGGGUUGUAAACCGCUUUUUGUCAGGGAAGAAAAGGUUCUGGCUAAUACCUGGGACUCAUGACGGUACCUGAAGAAUAAGCACCGGCUAACUACGUGCCAGCAGCCGCGGUAAUACGUAGGGUGCAAGCGUUAAUCGGAAUUACUGGGCGUAAAGCGUGCGCAGGCGGUUAUGCAAGACAGAGGUGAAAUCCCCGGGCUCAACCUGGGAACUGCCUUUGUGACUGCAUAGCUAGAGUACGGUAGAGGGGGAUGGAAUUCCGCGUGUAGCAGUGAAAUGCGUAGAUAUGCGGAGGAACACCGAUGGCGAAGGCAAUCCCCUGGACCUGUACUGACGCUCAUGCACGAAAGCGUGGGGAGCAAACAGGAUUAGAUACCCUGGUAGUCCACGCCCUAAACGAUGUACAACUGGUUGUUGGGUACGGUUUCUUCUCAGUAACGUAGCUAACGCGUGAAGUUGACCGCGUGGGGAGGUACGGCCGCGAGUAGAACGUACGAAGUAGAGUAGUACGGCGUGAGACGUAGCGACGGACGACGACGAGGGAGGAGG
rnacentral:rRNA from 1 species